rnacentral:rRNA from 1 species
UAGGGAAUCUUCCGCAAUGGGCGAAAGCCUGACGGAGCAACGCCGCGUGAGUGAUGAAGGUCUUCGGAUCGUAAAACUCUGUUAUUAGGGAAGAACAAAUGUGUAAGUAACUAUGCACGUCUUGACGGUACCUAAUCAGAAAGCCACGGCUAACUACGUGCCAGCAGCCGCGGUAAUACGUAGGUGGCAAGCGUUAUCCGGAAUUAUUGGGCGUAAAGCGCGCGUAGGCGGUUUUUUAAGUCUGAUGUGAAAGCCCACGGCUCAACCGUGGGGGGUCAUUGGAAGCUGGAAAACUUGAGUGCAGAAGAGGAAAGUGGAAUUCCAUGUGUAGCGGUGAAAUGCGCAGAGAUAUGGAGGAACACCAGUGGCGAAGGAGACUUUCUGGUCUGUAACUGACGCUGAUGUGCGAAAGCGUGGGGAUCAAACAGG